rnacentral:lncRNA from 1 species
AUGCUAUUCCUCUCUUCUAAUUUUUGCACAUUUGCUUCUGAGACUGCAAACAGAAGGGAGCACAGAAACGAGUGAGUAAAAAAUAAAAAAUGAAUGCAUUGCUUACACAAUGAAAGUCAAACAUCGCAGGGGCAAUGAUGCUAGAAACAUCAAUCUAUUCUUAUACGCAAAGCAGAGGUAAGAACAAAAGUUUGGGCAUUUUACUGUUGAUGAACCGAAGUUUUUGGACACAGCCCAGAAUGCCAGAAGUAGAGAUUUGCAGUUUACGUCUGACUGGUCAUUGAUUUGGAUAGACGCCUCAGAUAUAUCAUAUAUAUAGAGGAAAUUGGAAGAGGAGGGGGGAAAAGAAAAGGAACAGUGUAAAAUAUAUGAACAGUGAAGGAUUAAGAUAUUAGUGGGCAUAUUUUAUUAGGUAGGGGAGAAAAGUGCAAGAAAUUUAAAAAUUUAGUUUCCAUGCUGAAUGCUUUUUCUUUUCUUUGUUUCUAUCAACAUUUCAUUUCAUCUUUUCUAUCCAGCAGAAGAUAUGAGUGAGGGGGAGGAGCCCCAAACAAACAAGACCAGUAGAUGAAAGAAAAGAAAAAAAUGGAGAAUACCAAAGGCUCUCUCCAUGGGAUUGAGAGGGUUCCAUUUCAGUAUUGCAUGAGAGAGAAGAGGGAAGGAGACAAAGGGGGGAAGCCCCAAAAUCUCUCAGACGGAUUAUCACAAACACUUGGUGGGCGAAACCCAAGAAAUCGAAGGAAGAAGAAGUAGUAGGUAGGUGGCAAAGUAGACCCUUUUCCUUCUCCUUCCCUAGUGCAGGCAAGACAGCCCACAAAAUCCAGUAAGAGGAUAUGAACAAGCAGAAAAGGCCACUACCAGAGCAUUUAAAGAUGGGAACUACAACAACAACAACAACAAUAACAACAUUAAAUUCUUAUAUACAAACAGAGAUUUAAAAACCCACAAAGCUACACAUAGAAAAGUCCAAAAAGAAGAAGGGUGUUGUGUUGAUAUGCAAAGAGGGGAAAAAGGAAUAAACUUUGAAAAGGGGGGCAGUGAAAUCACUAUCCAACAGAACUAAGAAUUUAUAGCUUUGGUAGAUAAAAGAAAAGAUUGGGCCAACACUAGUGCAACAUCAAUAAAUACAUAACCACCCCCAGCGAAAUACAAACCCCCCAAAAAGAGACACUCACCAAACGCAAUCGCUUCAAGCAAAUGGUUGAAAGCUAGUGGGUAGGCAGAACAAUGGUAAAGCUUGGAUCUAAUGGGGAAGAAGAAGGAGAUGAUGAUGAUGAUGGUGAGUAAGUGAGUGAGUGAGUGAGAAGAGAAAUAGAGGAUUGAGGAAGGAAGGAGAUGAAAUGAAAACCCCUUUUAAUAGACGACGCAUGCAAAGUGAGAGCAGGAGCAGGAGCAGGAGCAGCUGCUUUUUGGGGGAGGAGAGUUUGUUUUCUUUAUCACGUGUUAAAGGCUAGUGAAGUCUGCCAAGGUAAGCCCCUUUGUUCCCCCCUCUCUUCCUAUCUCUCUGCAACUUUAAUAAGUUUCUAUUAGAAAACAAAUCAAAGAAAUUGCCUCUUUCUUUCUCCCUCCUGCUGAGCUAGCUGUGUGUUAGCGGCUGGAGAUGGUGGCUCUGCCGCAGCCUGUGAUUCAAGCAUUUACCAGUACCAUCAUUCAGUUAGUAGACUCUUUAAUUUAAUUUCAUUUAAUUUACUACAGCAGGGUGAGUUAUGGUAAAAACUUAAAAAGGUUAAAGUAAAAAGGGCAGUAAACACUGAGGCGGACGGUAAUAAUUAGUUGAAUACAGCUAAAUAUUUGAAUGCAAAAC